GCGCCAAGUGCAUAGUUGCUCGCAUCGGU
rnacentral:sRNA from 1 species